CAUUAGAUGACUGAAAGCAAGUACUGGUCUCUUAAACCAUUUUUAGUAAUUAGCAACUACUUCUAAUGA
rnacentral:tRNA from 1 species